GAUGAACGCUGGCGGCGUGCAUAACACAUUCAAGUCGAACGGAGUUAACGGAGAGCUUGCUUGAAGUUAACUUAGUGGCGGACGGGUGAGUAACGCGUGAGCAACCUGCCUUUGUGUGGGGGAUAACGUUUGGAAACGAACGCUAAUACCGCAUAACGUAUUCGGGAUGCAUGUUCUGAAUACCAAAAAUUUAUUGCGAAAAGAUGGGCUCGCGUUGGAUUAGAUAGUUGGUGGGGUAACGGCUCACCAAGUCGACGAUCCAUAGCCGGACUGAGAGGUUGAACGGCCACAUUGGAACUGAGAAACGGUCCAGACUCCUACGGGAGGCAGCAGUGGGGAAUUUUGGACAAUGGGCGCAAGCCUGAUCCAGCAAUGCCGCGUGCAGGAAGAAGGCCUUCGGGUUGUAAACUGCUUUUGUCAGGGAAGAAAUCUUCUGGGCUAAUACCCCGGGAGGAUGACGGUACCUGAAGAAUAAGCACCGGCUAACUACGUGCCAGCAGCCGCAGUAACAC
rnacentral:rRNA from 1 species